UGGAUGCAGGGUUGCUGAUCAAAUUCUCAAGCUUGUUCCAAAUGUUGAGAAUUUCAGGACAACUCUACGAUGUGUGAAGUUUUGGGCUAAAAAACGUGGCAUUUAUUCAAAUGUUUGAUAGGGAAGACCAGUGUGAAAA